GUGGUGACGGUGAUUGUCUUCGGAUCUCAUGCACUUUGAUGGAUGCUCUUGCUGCCAGGUGGGAGCAGGCUGCUUUCUUACAAAUGUCUUGCAGUUCUUCAGGGCACGGGUCAGUGGCCUUUCUUUCAGAGCAGCAUGUAGAGCUCUUUUGCCAACUUAGUAAACAGGAAAUUUUUCGUGGCUGGAAGCAAAAGUAAUGGUAAUUUUGAGUAUGUGUUUAGAAAUCGCCCCUUACCUCAUUGAAGGUCACGGUGGUUCAAGAGUGUGGGAAUGGAGUCUCCACUGAUGAGUCACCCUCUCCGUUUCCCUUGUCCCCCACCCAUGACUGGCUGGAGAGCUUAGUCAGUUUGAGGACUGCUAGCAAGCCUGGCUGGCUAGCCUUCCGCAUCUCACAAGGGUAUGUCCCCGGCCCAAGAUGAAAACAGCCUAACAGAGCCACGAUAGCUCCUAAGAAAAAAAGAUUUCUGAUUUGUCCUACUGAUGUCAGGUUGGAGCAUUAUCUCUGAAAAUAAAGUGUAGUGUCAGGCUUAAUAGCACAAGGGACUGUUUCAGUAAUAGAAGUUAGCGUCAUAAGGUAGGUUGGACAUAGCAGACUGUCCAGAGUGAUCUGAGCUCUGAAAUCCAGGUGGUGAACUCACCAUCUUUCAUGCUCUGUGGACAAGUAUCUUGGACUUAAGAGGGCUUUUGGUUUUCAGUGAGACCUGAGACCAGGGAUGCAUACGCCUAAGCUGUUCAUCGAAUGGGAACGCCACUUGGACUGAAAGUGUUUGGAGGACUGUGGCAGUUCUAGGCUGGGCUCAGGAGAUUCAAUAGAUUGGCUGUAACUAAAGCUUUAGAAUUUGUCAUCUGCCUCUGAAUAGGCUUUCCAGGGUGUCUGUCUCAUUCUUAGGUUUACCUCUGGGCCUCUGCAUGCCGAAGCUGGCCUUUCAUCCCUGGCAGAUCGGUAACGUGCUGGCCACCACUGGCUCUGUCAACCACAGCUGGUUCUCCCGUGGCCUUCACCAUGGCACAAGGAUAGAGGAGUGCAGGGCGAUCCACAUCCACUCCAUGUGCAGGACUGGCCUGGCUUCAGUCUUUGUUUUCUAAGCAAGUGAUUCCAGUAGAGAGUUUCUUGUUUCCUCUUAGGAGAGCUUUAAAGAGCCCUGCUUCUCUCUGCAGGGGCUUGGAGCUCACCCUGCUCACUGUUGGUACCGCCGCCUUACCCCACAUUAACCUGGAUACCUAGAACUGCUAAAAUAGGAAGAGCUUCUGCUUUUCACCUUUGCUACUACCUUCCCUCAAGCAGAUAAAUAAACAUGGACUUACAUGUCCUUCAAACAAAAACCAAAGUUUUGGAUUUCCACAUGGUAGUGAUAGGGAGGCCAGACUGUUCCAUCUGCCACCAGUUUGCCCAGCUCAGGUUGCACCAGGGACACCGUCCUGCCCCAGGAGGGCCAAGGCCUCGCCCUCAUGGAGGGUGAUUGAAAUAGCAGGAAUGUGUUGAUUUCUUGGCUACUUUGCAUUAUAACAAAGAAGAAUCAGAAGUCUAAUUAGAAGUUGUCUUCAGCAACCUACUGUGUGCAUUUUUUUUCACACCGGUACAUUCUUAAGCAUCCUUGUUUAUAUAGAAUAACAUAAACUAAUCUGUACCUUCUCUGCCUCCUCCCCAAGCUGUCAGAUAGCCUUCCUACUCAAAUCUAAAGCAGUAUUAAGAUCAUUACUGCAUGUGCACUAAAAACCCAAGUUUUCUGUUCCCUUGGGGCAGAAAAUUGCAUGUGAGGUGGAAUAAUCAAGUUUCAAUGACCUAUGUCAGUUGCACAACAAAGCCAGACCCCAGAAUAAAAUUCCACAAAAUGGAAAUAAAACUCAAAUUUCUUUAGCACUGUGUAAAUAAAUCUGGAUGUGUUUAACUUUGUACUGGUAAUUUUCUGUAUAUUUGCAAUAUUUGGGUUAGAAAUAAAACAGACUGGACUUUA
rnacentral:lncRNA from 1 species